rnacentral:rRNA from 1 species
UACGUAGGGGGCAAGCGUUGUCCGGAAUUAUUGGGCGUAAAGAGCUCGUAGGCGGUUUGUCGCGUCUGCUGUGAAAACUGGAGGCUCAACCUCCAGCCUGCAGUGGGUACGGGCAAACUAGAGUGUGGUAGGGGAGACUGGAAUUCCUGGUGUAGCGGUGAAAUGCGCAGAUAUCAGGAGGAACACCGAUGGCGAAGGCAGGUCUCUGGGCUGACACUGACGCUCAUGCACGAAAGGCGUGGGGAGCAAACAGG